rnacentral:lncRNA from 1 species
CAGAAUUUUUGUGCUUUCUCAGUCUUGCUGAUGAUCUUUCUAUGGGCCUGAAGCGUGGAGAGUGCCAGAGAGGCUGAUCCUCAGCAGUGUGGCAGAGGAAAGUUGGGUGCGACUAAGGGGUAUGCGGUGCCCACAUGCCACUGGGUCCUCAGCAGUACCACCUGAUUGGAAGUGAUAUUGGUGGAAGACAACAUUUUGCCGCUUGGAAUUCUCACCUCCACACCAAAGAAGUACUGUUUUUGUCAUUUGCACCAGCUUCUUUCUCCAGGAAAGAUCAAAACGAUGCACUGCAAGGUUAACAUCCAAUUUUUAAUACAUGUAAUUCCCUG